rnacentral:rRNA from 1 species
AGCAGCCGCGGUAAUUCCAGCUCCAAUAGCGUAUAUUAAAGUUGUUGCAGUUAAAAGCUCGUAGUUGAAUUUCGGGGUUAGUAGGUUGGUCAUGCCUCUGGUAUGUACUGGUCUCACUGAUUCCUCCUUCCUGAUGAACCUUAAUGCCAUUUAUUUGGUGUUUUGGGGAAUUUGGACUGUUACUUUGAAAAAUUAGAGUGUUUAAAGCAAGCUAACGCUUGAAUACAUUAGCAUGGAAUAAUGAAAUAGGACGUUCGAUCCUAUUUUGUUGGUUUCUAGGAUUGACGUAAUGAUUAAUAGGGAUAGUUGGGGGCAUUAGUAUUCAGUUGUCAGAGGUGAAAUUCUUGGAUUUAUUGAAGACUAACUAACUGCGAAAGCAUUUGCCAAGGAUGUUCUCAUUAAUCAAGAACGAAAGUUAGGGGAUCGAAGACGAUCAGAUACCGUCGUAGUCUUAACCAUAAACUAUGCCGACUAGGGAUCGGAUGAUGUUAAUUUUUAAUGACUCAUUCGGCGCCUUAAC